AACAUGCGCGCUCUCGGGAGAUGGCCUCCUCCACGCUGCGAUGCCUCCUCCUGCUGCUGCCGUUGAUCGACGCCCCAUCUGUCUUCCUUCCAGAUCAGGCGAGGAUAUCAGCGUCUUCUUCCUACGAAGAAGACAAGCUUGUGAUCUGCAACCGGGGAGAGGCACCUCAGGGUGCUCCGUGACAAGAUGCAGCGUAACGAGCAUGCCAGCACGCUGGAGGUGCCCGGCGUCACGAUCACUGUGCGUAUGCUCUUGUUCAAGACCCACAUCGAGGCUGCCAAUUACAACCUUGGCGAGGCCCCGCAGGUCACCCAACUUGGCACAGGGGAAGUUGCUUCAAGGCUCUGUUGAACAGAGGAGAGGAAGCGGCCAGACGGGACGAGGUUGAUCUCCAUCAUUAGUAGUCAUCGACGACGGCAGGUCCAGAUGGGUCGAGCCAGCAGUAUGUUUCCAAAAUCUACUCAUGACCUUUGCAACAAAGAUGUUCAGAAACUUGUCUUCCCAUCCUAGGCUUGAGAAGACCAAGUUCACAAAAUCUACUCAUGUGACCUUUGCAACAAAGAUGUUCUGGAACUUGUCUUUCCAUCCUAGGCUUAUCGCUUUUAGACUUAGCUUGUACUUCUUCAGUCAUUUAUCUGUGAACAUGGCCAACGAUCUAUGUGUUUGCUUACCAUCUGCUUAUUAUAAUGCCCGUGGUAUACUUUUUGUCCUGUUAAUGUGCUUAUGUUCCUUUUAUGAAUGAUGAUUAGGAAGUUGUAGGCAUUGUAUAA